CAAGCGAAGGGUCAUUCGUCUAUUCAAAAAAACAAUGGCCCUAGAGAAAAGUGUCAAUCCUAGCCAGUGGAGAGGGACACGAACGAAAAAAUAAGUGGAAAGGGGGUAGGAAGCGCGCAUUAAGCAGAGAGCAACUGUGGAGGUGGCGGUCUGGGAGGAACACAGGGCAACGAACACCUUUACAUUACAGUCUAUAUUUCAAACUGCGAGUGUAAGGUGUGUGUGUGUGUGCUACGGAGGAAAAUCGGUAGAAAGAAGUGUCUCUUUCUCAGUCUGUGUAUCUGUGUUUUACGGUUUCUUUACCCGAGAUUUAUUAUUUUUUUCUUCUCUUUUCGUGCGAGCAAAGUGAGACAUUUUUUAGUUUCGUUAUUUUUUUCAAGGACUAUUUUCGCGCAUCCUUAUUCCCGGUGGAUCUAAGUGAUGACAGCAAUAAUGGAACUUCCACGCCCAUUCCUCUUCUUCUUGAUCAUACUUGGGUUCGCGGGCGUGGGUGGGCGUGCCUCUGCGACCGAAGACGAUCCUGCCAUGAUUCUGAUCCUACUGGAUGGAUUUCGCUGGGAUUACCUCGACAUACACAAGAGCGACGCUGGCUUUCCCGGGUUCGAUAAUUUCGUAAAAGACGGCGUUCGUGCAGAGUAUCUGAAUCCGGUUUUCCCUGCAGACUCUUACCCGAACUGGAGGACGAUUGU